GUGGGGAAUAUUGGACAAUGGGCGCAAGCCUGAUCCAGCCAUACCGCGUGGGUGAAGAAGGCCUUCGGGUUGUAAAGCCCUUUUGUUGGGAAAGAAAUCCUGUCGAUUAAUACUCGGUGGGGAUGACGGUACCCAAAGAAUAAGCACCGGCUAACUUCGUGCCAGCAGCCGCGGUAAUACGAAGGGUGCAAGCGUUACUCGGAAUUACUGGGCGUAAAGCGUGCGUAGGUGGUGGUUUAAGUCUGCUGUGAAAGCCCUGGGCUCAACCUGGGAAUUGCAGUGAUACUGGAUCACUAGAGUGUGGUAGAGGGAUGCGGAAUUUCUGGUGUAGCAGUGAAAUGCGUAGAGAUCAGAAGGAACAUCCGUGGCGAAGGCGGCAUCCUGGGCCAACACUGACACUGAGGCACGAAAGCGUGGGGAGCAAACAGGAUUAGAAACCCGUGUAGUCC
rnacentral:rRNA from 1 species